GGACUGAUGGUGUAGUUGGUUAUCACGUUCGUCUCACAUUUCCCGAUGGUGCUGAGCACGAGAGGUCCCCAGUUCGAACCUGGGUUAGUCCA